rnacentral:rRNA from 1 species
CCUACGGGAGGCAGCAGUGAGGAAUAUUGGUCAAUGGCCGGAAGGCUGAACCAGCCAUGCCGCGUGAAGGUCAGUGCCCUAUAGGCGUUAAAAUUCUUUUGUGCGGGAGCAAUAAUGGUCACGUGUGGCCAGACGAGAGUACCGUACGAAUAAGCAUUGGCUAACUCCGUGCCAGCAGCCGCGGUAAUACGGGGGAUGCAAGCGUUAUCCGGAUUUAUUGGGUUUAAAGGGCGCGUAGAUGGGUUUGUAAGUCAGUUGUGAAAGUUUGCGGGUCAACCGGCAAAUUGCAAUUGAUACUGGCAGUCUUGAGUACAGUAGAGGUAGGCGGAAGUCGUGGUGUAGCGGUGAAAUGCUUAGAUAUCACGAAGAACCCCGAUUGCGAAGGCAGCUUACGAAACUGUGACUGACAUUGAUGCUCGAAAGUGUGGGUAUCAAACAGGAUUAGAUAACCCGGUAGUC